rnacentral:tRNA from 1 species
GGAGAGGUGCUCGAGUGGCUGAAGAGGCACGCCUGGAAAGCGUGUAUACCUUUACCGGUAUCGAGGGUUCGAAUCCCUCUCUCUCCGC